rnacentral:rRNA from 1 species
AUUCCAGCUCCAAUAGCGUAUAUUAAAGUUGUUGCAGUUAAAACGCUCGUAGUUGGAUUUGUGGUUGGAGCGGUCGGUCCGACACUCUGUGUGGGUACUUGACUGUCUCCGUCCAUCCUUGGGUGGAACCUGUGAGGCAUUAGGUUGUCGUGCAGGGGAUGCCCAUCUUUUACUGUGAAUAAAUUAGAGUGUUCAAAGCAGGCUUACGCCGUUGAAUAUGCUAGCAUGGAAUAAUAAGAUAGGACCUUGGUACUAUUUUGUUGGUUUGCGCACCGAGGUAAUGAUUAAUAGGGACAGUUGGGGGUAUUCGUAUUGCACUGUCAGAGGUGAAAUUCUUGGAUUUUUGCAAGACGAACGACUGCGAAAGCAUUUACCAAGGAUGUUUUCAUUA